AAAUUCUCAACCCUAUUCAGCUUUGGCUGGAUCUGGAUUGGAUUGUGGGGGUGUUUGCAGGCUUUCAGAAGUCAGCUCCCCUGAAAUGCAUUAGCGGGACCUUUGUGGAUCUGGCUCCAGGUGUGAUAAUUAUCUAUGCCUUUUGACUUUGAAACAAACUUAUUGGAACCUGCUCAUAACCGUCCUUCACGGGACAACUUUUGACA
rnacentral:misc_RNA from 1 species